rnacentral:sRNA from 1 species
AGCAGCCGCGGUAAUUCCAGCUCCAAUAGCGUAUAUUAAAGUUGUUGCAGUUAAAAAGCUCGUAGUUGAAUUUCGGGAUCAAUUAAUCGGUCGUGCCUCUGGUACGCACUGGUUUUAUUGGUUUCUCCCUUCUGACGAACCAGGAUGUCAUUAAUUUGGUGUCUUGGAGAAUCAGGACUGUUACUUUGAAAAAUUAGAGUGUUUAAAGCAGGCUAACGCUUGAAUACAUUAGCAUGGAAUAAUGAAAUAGGACGUUUGAUCCUAUUUUGUUGGUUUCUAGGAUCGACGUAAUGAUUAAUAGGGAUAGUUGGGGGCAUUAGUAUUCAAUUGUCAGAGGUGAAAUUCUUGGAUUUAUUGAAGACUAACUACUGCGAAAGCAUUUGCCAAGGAUGUUUUCAUUAAUCAAGAACGAAAGUUAGGGGAUCGAAGACGAUCAGAUACCGUCGUAGUCUUAACCAUAAACUAUGCCGACUAGGGAUCGGAUGAUGUUAAUUUUUAAUGACUCAUUCGGCGCCUUAAC